GGCCAUGUUGGUUAACAGAUCCUCAUCUGCUGGACGUCUGGCGAUGAUCUUUAUCGGUUGUCGUCAGUUGCCAGCACGUUUACUUUGAGAAAAUUAGAGUGCUAAAAGCAGGCUCACGCCUAUAUAUAUUGCAUGGAAUAAUGAAAUAAGAUCUCGAUUUUAUUUCGUUGGUUUUAGAAAUUGAGAUAAUGAUUAAUAGGAUCAGAGGGGGGCGUACGUACUGUGGUGUGAGAGGUGAAAUUCUUGGAUCGCCACAGGACGAACAGCAGCGAAGGCGUUCGCCAAGAAUGUUUUCAUUAAUCAAGAACGAAAGUUUGAGGUUCGAAGACGAUUAGAUACCGUCCUAGUUCAAACCAUAAACGUUGCCAACUGUCUUUUAGAUGCGGUUAUUUAUAUGACUCAUCUGGCGGAUCUCGAGAAAUCUAAGUUUUUAGGUUCCGGGGGAAGUAUGGUUGCAAAGCUGAAACUUAAAAGAAUUGACGGAAGGACACACAAGAAGUGGAGCCUGUGGCCUAAUUUGACUCAACACGGGAAACCUUACUCGGCCAGGACACUUUUAGGAUUGACAGAUUGAGAGCUCUUUCUUGAUUAGGUGGGUGGUGGUGCAUGGUCGUUCGUAGUUCGUGGAGCGAUUUGUCUGAUUAAUUUCGAUAACGAGCGAGACUCCGGCUUACUAAAUAGUCUAAAGUUCGAAGGGACUUUUCAAGACUUCUUAGCAGGAUAAGUGG
rnacentral:rRNA from 1 species